UGUGACUCGAGGCCAGCAGAGGCGGGAAUACGGAGGGUGAAAGUGGUAAGCGGAAAGACUGUGCGGAAAGCGGUGUUCGGCUGUUGGCUAAGUCAGAGGGUAAAGCCCUUGGCUCAACCUGGGAAGGGCAUUUGAAACUGGCCGGCUAGAGUGUGAUAGAGGAUGGCGGAAUUCCCGGUGGAGCGGUGAAAUGCGUAGAGAUCGGGAGGAACAUCCGUGGCGAAGGCGGCCAUCUGGAUCAACACUGACGCGGAGGCACGAAAGCGUGGGGAGCAAACAGGAUUAGAUACCCGGGUAGUC
rnacentral:rRNA from 1 species